rnacentral:rRNA from 1 species
UUAAAUUGAAGAGUUUGAUCAUGGCUCAGAUUGAACGCUGGCGGCAGGCCUAACACAUGCAAGUCGAACGGUAACAGGAAUCAGCUUGCUGAUUCGCUGACGAGUGGCGGACGGGUGAGUAAUGUC